rnacentral:lncRNA from 1 species
CAGACUCAUACAAGAUAAACUUGAUUAACCUAAAGUCAACUGAUUACAGAGCUUAAUGACAUCAACAGAGAUCCCUCACAUUUGCCGUGCAGCUGAACAGAAACACAGAGCUUAUAUUCCCAAGAUGUGCCAUAUUCUACUGGUUAGAAGCAAGUUUCAGGCCUGCCUGCACUCAAGGGAGAAGAUUAUACAAGGUGGCCGCCAGUGCCUAUGGGUCAGCUCCAAGGCAGAAAGUGAAGAGGAAUUAAAUCUACAUAGGAUAUGAUUAAAGAAAGCAGAAAAUUAUCUUCCAAGGAAUCAUAUCUGCAAAAUAACAAGAGGAAAUCACAAUAACACCUGGAUAUGGCACCCUAACAAUCAAGACCUUCGCUGUCACUUUAGCUCCUGUGAGCAGAGCCCCCCGGCCGUGCUGCGUCCGCCGCUGCGUCCUGUGCGCCCACCCUUCGUGAAGGAGAAACCUCUGCUGAUGGGAAG